rnacentral:rRNA from 1 species
UACGUAGGGUGCGAGCGUUGUCCGGAAUUAUUGGGCGUAAAGAGCUCGUAGGCGGUGUGUCGCGUCGGCCGUGAAAACCUGCAGCUUAACUGUGGGCUUGCGGUCGAUACGGGCAUCACUGGAGUUCGGCAGGGGGGACUGGAAUUCCUGGUGUAGCGGUGAAAUGCGCAGAUAUCAGGAGGAACACCGGUGGUGAAGGCGGGUCUCUGGGCCGAUACUGACGCUGAGGAGCGAAAGCGUGGGGAGCGAACAGG